rnacentral:lncRNA from 1 species
CAGAGAGAGGCGUGUGCAGAGCAGUUACUUAGCAUUCAAGGGUGGAUCUGCAGGAAAAACACACACACACAGGCUUGCUGCAAAGCGUCCGGCCUGGCAACACCGGUGGAUGAGACCAGAAAAUGGGAAUCUUUUCAAUGCUUUCCUCAUGAAGGUUAGGCAUUUGGGCUAAAAAGGGAGGAGAGAGAUGUGGAUCUUUUUUAAUUAAGACAGUUCCACGAGAGGAAGUGUCUGCAAGGAUAGUUCAAGUAGUCACAGCUGAAGCUGUAGCAGUCCUGAAAGGUGAACAAGAGAAGGAGGCCCAACACAAGGAUCAGCCUGCAGCUCUGCCUUUAGCAGCUGAAGAAACAGUUAAUCUGCCACCUUCCCCACCACCAUCGCCAGCAUCAGAACAAACAGCUGCACUGGAA